rnacentral:rRNA from 1 species
UCUACGGGGCGCAGCAGGCGCGAAAACUUCGCAAUUGCGAAAGCACGACAAGGUUAUAUCCGAGUGGUUGCUCCUAAGUGUGCGCUGUGACAGUGUCUAGAAUGACAGUGAUACCUAUG